rnacentral:lncRNA from 1 species
AGCCCCCAUAAGGACCCCAUAGGACCCCAUAGGGACCCCAUAGAGACCCCAUAAGACCCCAUAGGACCCCAUAGGACCCCAUAACCUCCAUGUCCCCCUGCAGGGGCGCCGUGAGUUGGCGCUGAGCUCCUUCUGGUUGGCCAACUGCUGCCGCCUUUUGCAGUGCCUGAAGCAGCGCCCGGGCUCCGCCCCCCCGGAGCUGCCCGCGCUGUGUGAGGCUCUCUAUGCGCAGCUCUGCGCCAAUGCUGACGCCGCUCUGCAGCCCAUGGUCGGU